GCAGCCAAAGAGAAAGUGUUCUCAGAUUGGGUAUUCAUCACCCUCAAGAGGGAGCAGUGGCUUGAUUUGCCUGCCAUGGCUUAAAUACAUCUUCAGGUAACCAUUUGCCUUACAGGUGUAUUUUAUUGUUAGGAUGAUAGUUAGUAACUGACUAGGAACUGUUUUGUGUCUCAUUUUUUGGGUCUUUUUUUUGCACUUUAUAUGGGCCUAUCAUGGGGUAGGUUUAUUCUUUAACUGCGUACUUGGCUAUUAUCCUUAAUGCAGGCAUCUUAUGUUGUCCUGUCGCCUAUGAAUAAAGAUAUGUUCCCUAAUCAGGUCCUUAUAUUUUUUCAUUAACUGUACAUGAAGAAAAUAUAUUACAUUAUAAAUGAUGCAUCAUAUAUAUAUAUAUCUUAUAGAGUACAUAUUAUAUACUGUGCAUUAUUCAUUUAAGAAGUCAUUAUUCUUGAGGCCCUACCUCAAAUUUUGUAUUUAUGUGUACAAAUGCAAUUUAUGGUAUUAUAUAUUUGCCUAUUAUAUACUGAUAUAAAUUAGAAUUUAUCCGAAUAAUGUAUGAAUUGACAAACCCCUAAAUAAAUGUCAGUGUUUAAAAAUCUAA
rnacentral:lncRNA from 1 species